rnacentral:lncRNA from 1 species
CCAAAAAAAAGAAAAAAAGAAAACUCAUAGAGCUUUACAAGAGGGAACGAUAUUGCUGUAGGCGAUGAUCUCAGGUGUUCUUCUCCAGAACAGACAAAGCUGGUGUCAGGUAGUUGUUUGCUUUGUCAGGCAAAUGUGCUACCUGCAAAAGCAGCAAACACUUGAAAUGAUACCCGAACCACAGACUAAACAGUCUCAUCAAAUUAACAGGGUUAGAUUGAGAUCCAUUACCAG